GAUGAACGCUGACAGAAUGCUUAACACAUGCAAGUCUACUUGAAUUUGGGUUUUUUAACUUAGAUUUGGGUGGCGGACGGGUGAGUAACGCGUAAAGAACUUGCCUCACAGCUAGGGACAACAUUUGGAAACGAAUGCUAAUACCUGAUAUUAUGAUUAUAAGGCAUCUUAGAAUUAUGAAAGCUAUAUGCGCUGUGAGAGAGCUUUGCGUCCCAUUAGCUAGUUGGAGAGGUAACGGCUCACCAAGGCGAUGAUGGGUAGCCGGCCUGAGAGGGUGAACGGCCACAAGGGGACUGAGACACGGCCCUUACGCCUACGGGAGGCAGCAGUGGGGAAUAUUGGACAAUGGACCAAGAGUCUGAUCCAGCAAUUCUGUGUGCACGAUGACGUUUUUCGGAAUGUAAAGUGCUUUCAGUUGGGAAGAAAAAAAUGACGGUACCAACAGAAGAAGUGACGGCUAAAUACGUG
rnacentral:rRNA from 1 species